GUGCAGCUGGCUUCUGAGCUGGCUGAUUGUGGGAUGAUAUCAGGCCAUAAAGGGUGAACAGAUUCCAGUUUAUCUGGUACUGAGAGAAAAAUAGGCCCUGUAUCUUAGACAGCCCUGAUAAGGCACCUCCAUGGAUAUGAGUAAUUGUCAGACCCAGGGGAUGAACCAGGGCUGAGAAAGCUGAACAAUGGAAAGCCGGGAGCAGAGUGACAAGGAAAUUCUUCCCCUGAAUUGCCUUUUCCUAUUGAGAUAAGAUAGUAUGCAAUAAAGCGCCAGACUCAGAAGUGCUGCCACCAGUCCCAGUGGGAGUGGCUGGCACUGAGCCUGAGCGGCAGCACGUGUGAGCCUGGUGCUUUCAGCACCUGGGUGGUCCCUCAAGGGCUUGCUCAGGCCUGCCGCACAA
rnacentral:lncRNA from 1 species